rnacentral:rRNA from 1 species
AUUGAACGCUGGCGGCAGGCCUAACACAUGCAAGUCGAACGGUAACAGGAAGAAGCUUGCUUCUUUGCUGACGAGUGGCGGACGGGUGAGUAAUGUCUGGGAAACUGCCUGAUGGAGGGGGAUAACUACUGGAAACGGUAGCUAAUACCGCAUAACGUCGCAAGACCAAAAAGGGGGGCCUGCGGGCAUCUUGCCAUAGGAAGUGCCCGGAUGGGAUUAGCUAGUAGGGGGGGUAACGGCUCACCUAGGCGACGAUCCCUAGCUGGUCUGAGAGGAUGACCAGCCCCACUGGACCUGAGACACGGUCCAGACUCCAUCGGGAGGCAGCAGUGGGAAAGAUGGCACAAUGGGCGCAAGCCUGCUGCAGCCAGGCCGCGUGUAUGAAGAAGGCCUUCGGGUUGUAAAGUACUUUCAGCGGGGAGGAAGGGAGUAAAGUUAAGACCUUUGCUCAUUGACGUUACCCGCAGAAGAAGGACCGGCUAACUCCUG